rnacentral:rRNA from 1 species
UACGAAGGGGGCUAGCGUUGUUCGGAAUUACUGGGCGUAAAGCGUGCGCAGGCGGCUUCUCAAGUCAGGGGUGAAAGCCCAGAGCUUAACUCUGGAAUUGCCUUUGAGACUGAGAGGCUUGAGUACGGGAGAGGUGAGUGGAAUUCCCAGUGAUAGAGGUGAAAUUCGUAGAUAUUGGGAAGAACACCGGUGGCGAAGGCGGCUCACUGGCCCGUAACUGACGCUCAUGCACGACAGCGUGGGGAUCAAACAGG